UCCCCUUCCCUCCCCUCCCCCAGGAGACAUUUUGGUCACGUCCCAGCAGCAGGUACCCGAAGAGCCAGGGUACGAGCGGCCAGAGCCCUAGUCAGGCUCCUUCGGAGGGCAAGCAUGGCGCGGCUUCGAGCGCUGCGAAGGGCAGCGGCCGGUAUUCUUCCUUAAAUUCCUUCUCCUGUGGCUUCUCUACUGAUUAAAACAAAAACAGCAACCAAGAAGCUCAGAGAGACUAAGAGACAAAGGUAACAAACUUUGUCGUGUUCCUGGUCCAGUGGUGCGUCAGCAAAUGGAAGCACCUGUAGUUCAUCAGCGGAGUGAAGCCCAUCAUUCUACUGGCUCUCCAGUUCUGUCUGGGACAUGUUCAAAGAUGAAUGAAAGAGGAAAAGGCAGACCCAGUUGUACACUUCCAGGUGACCAAACAUGGCCUUAAGCACACGGCUGAUCUCAUGCCAGAGGAAAUCCGUCCACACAGACUGCAAUUCAUACCAUCACCACCUCAUUCCCUAAGUUUCCAUUUCUAACAGGAACAGCCAGCAAACAAAGGACCCAAAGUGAUAUGUGAGAUUUUGAGGGGAAAAAAAAUGAAGAAGGUGGUUUUAUUAUUCCUAAAUAUCCAGGUAAACACUUGAAAAUCAGUUUACCUUCUGGUCAGAAGUAUGGAGCAGGUAGAAAAAAAAAAACUAGGGAACAAGUAGAUUUGAGAAGUAAAAGGAAAAAAAGUACAAAGCAACUAAAGAAUUAUAAACAACAGAGGCAGAUAACCAAGAUGUGACACUGUUCUAGGAGCCACUAAGUUCACGUAGACAGUGCUGAAGGCUGAGGGGAGGUCCUGGUGGAUAGGAUCCAAAUAAGACAUUUCAAAUCUCUUGUGAUCUAAGAUACACUACGAAGUUGAGAUUAUGGGGGAAAGAAAAAUUAGUUUAUGCUUUUAAAAAGUCUGCCUUUUGUUUAAAAUUAGGUUGAGGUAAAUAUUUCCCUUAAGUCAGUAAGAAAGUGAAAUCAGCAAGAAGAUAAAUUUUAAUAAUUACUUUCAAACUGAGAAAUAAGAGGAAAACAAAAAAGUUAAACUACAGUAAUUCAGCUUAACAGUUUAAAUUAAUCCAUUCCCCCAAGUUUUACAAGCAAAGAUAUACUUACUGUUUUUAGAUUAACUGUAAUUUGUGUAAAAAAAAAUACUAAAUUAUGAGAAAAUAUCAUACAUUAUCCUUUUCCUACCUAUACAUGUGUUCUGUGUUCCAGAUCCCCAACUUCUCAACCUUUCUUCCCAUGUAUUUCAUAUUCAUAUCUAAACUUUAACAGUUUUUCCAAAUUGGAAAAAAUUUCAUUAUUUAAGGCUCAUUGUUUUAAUUGUAAGCAAAGAGCUCAAAUUCAUUUUUAUCUCUAUAAUCACAAUAUAUUCCGAUAUAAAACAAAGGAUUAUUUUUUCCUAUGGAACUUUAGUUUUUAUAGC